UGUCAAUUAGCCUGUAAGUUGCUCUGGAUAAGAGCAUCUGCUAAAUGACUCAAA
rfam:Salmo salar isolate Sally breed double haploid chromosome ssa12, whole genome shotgun sequence.